GAUGAACGCUGGCUACAGGCUUAACACAUGCAAGUCGUGGGGAAACGGCAUUAUGUGCUUGCACAUUCUGGACGUCGACCGGCGCACGGGUGAGUAUCGCGUAUCCAACCUGCCCCUUACUUGGGGAUACCCCGUUGAAAGACGGCCUAAUACCCGAUGUGUUUCAUUGACGGCAUCCGAUAUGAAACAAAGGUUUUUCCGGUAAGGGAUGGGGAUGCGUCUGAUUAGCUAGUUGGCGGGGCAACGGCCCACCAAGGCGACGAUCAGUAGGGGUUCUGAGAGGAAGGUCCCCCACAUUGGAACUGAGACACGGUCCAAACUCCUACGGGAGGCAGCAGUGAGGAAUAUUGGUCAAUGGACGCAAGUCUGAACCAGCCAAGUAGCGUGCAGGAUGACGGCCCUAUGGGUUGUAAACUGCUUUUAUGUGGGAAUAAAUUGGCGCACGUGUGCGCCAU
rnacentral:rRNA from 1 species